CGACAGUACCGGUGUCAAUCUGUCUACCCUAAUGUGAGCAGAGCACAGAAAUGCAGCUCAGACGCUCACCAUCCCCCAACAGUUUCAUGUUACACACCAGUGACGUCGCGCCCCUGCUCCUUUUUUGCAGACCAGCAUGCAAUAGCUUCGUUGUUUAUCGACUACUAAUUAAUAGCUCCGUGGCCGUCUUAGGUAACUAAGUUCUGGAACUGUGUCAAGGGUAUGUCUCCAAGGGCAAUUCUAUAGCAAAUCCUACCUGUAAGUCUGCAAGCAGGAUGAAGAAGGGGUGUUGCUAUAGAGCUUUUACUGAUCGAGAGUCCAACCCGAAUGGUUUGCCAUGCUGGUGGGUCAGGAAGUUCAUUCAGGCAGCCGUUUUGAAAUCAUGGCUCAAGGAGGACGUGCAGCAUGAAGAGGAAACAUCUGGAAAGUGCAUGUAAAGAAGAAUGAGUGAUGUCAGAGCCAGCUAGAAGUUUAGUUGAUGUGGCCUUGGAGGAUCGUGGCAAAACAUUCAUUGCUCAAUAUUAAAUAUUCAUUGUUUUAUUUCAAAUCCAAUGUGCUGGACCACAGAGCUAAAACAAAAAAACUUGUGUCACUGUCCCAGUACCUUUGCAUUUAACUAUACACAGUAUAUAUUCUACCAGCAUCCCCUCUCUGUUCUACCAGCAUCUUGUUUUUCUUCCUGUCUUGCUGUUUUCCUUUGCAUAUCCAGCUGUCUUCCACCCCUCUGCAGACUUGCAGCUCCAGUCAUGUUUGUGUAUUUUCCUCUGACCUGUGUUCCCAUUCUCCAGCUGCUGGAGAGAUUUGAGCAGCCACUUCAUGCUGGCACUGCAGCAACUGGUGGAGCAGCCACAGGCUAGCCUGGAUCAGAGCCUGGCUAGGGCAGGGCUUGGCCUGGCCCAUGUCCUCCUAAGACCCAGCAAUUCAUUUUUGUUUCUCUGUUGGGGUCCUGAGGCUCUGAUCUAUGCUGAAACAUACACUACCAGGGA